CGCAGGGCAACUGCAAAUUUAGAUCACGCCAUCUCAGAGCCUCAGGGACCUUGUUGGGCGACGCACAUUGGAAUUUGGAAUUGGAUGCAUGUACGACUUGAUGUGGCGUUGCAUGUGGAACGCCCCGUCAGUAUUGUUUGCAGACUGGUCAUUUGAUGAUACAUUUUCACAGUGGUAGUGCUUGGGUGCCUCAAGAGGGAAUCGCUGAGCAUAGCCACCCAUAGACCUAAAAGUCAUAGAAGAUUUUUAAAACUGUUAUUUGAUUUUGUGUUGUUUCAGCAGUAGUAUGUUCUUCAACAAUUUGUUAUGUCCAACCAUGGAAUGAGUCGCAUGUGACUAAGUCAACCAAACGGGGCAACAACAAUUAGACAGCAAUGAAAUUAGUCAGUGGAAAACAACACAUUCAUUCCUGAGCUAACGGAAGGAUUCCUCUUUUUCACAGAAAUUUUACCAUUUUCAUCUUAACUGCUUGCCGGUGGAUUGUCACUUGGCAUUAUUUGAAUGUGUUUGCAUUUCUUCAAGUUUGGUCCAUAUCAGCAGUGUUAUGAUGCACUUCUUAAGUACACCAAUCCCUCAGAAAAUAUUCUAAUUGAAAUUAUGAAACUUUCUGCCCUUCAUGCAGAACUGCACAAUGAUGGGUUCAUAUAAACAAGCUUGAAAUAACAAAUCAACAGACUAGGUAGUAUGAAAUAUCUACUCUUGGAAGUUUUUGUCUAUGGAUUUGUUUGAGAUGACCCUUGAGGCAGGAAGCUUUUCCUGCUUCUUACAAAAAGGGACAUUGGAUGCCUUAAUGUCUAAUACCAACCAAGUGUCAUUGCAAAGAUAGGUAGAAUAAUCGCAAUGUCGUGGUAGUAAUUCACGAGAGAUAUGCUAAUAGGGUUUCGCUGUUUUCAAUUCGCAAUCAUAAUGGAUUCAAAGAGGAUAUUGAUGGAGUUUUGGUAUAAAAAAAAAUAAGUACAUGUUCGUUGGAAGGGUAACCGAAGAGUUCCGGAUCCUUAUACUAUCGUGCAUGUUAUAGUAUUUUUACAAAAUCAUAGAAGUGCUUAUCUGGGCCCCUUGUUUUCUGUGGCCCCGUUCCCCCUUGACUUAUAUUAUUUUCUUUAACCCUUUAGUGCGUGUAAAACUAAAGGCUAAAAGAAGAAGAAUGAUUCAAAAAAUUGUGGGAGAGACUCAUCAAAGAAUUAUACUCGUUUAGGUAAUCCAAGGAAAUAAGAAAGAGUAGUAACUCGGCGCAGUCUUCGAUUUCAUCUUUUUAAAAGCUGUUUUUAUUGUGGGAAUUUUUUGGUCGAGACGUUAUGGGUGUCUUAAAUGCACUGGAGGUUGCGUUAGAUGUCAUAAUCCCCAGCAAAAAGGGAACGCUGAAAAUCCCAGGUGGCGAUGGUAAUUAGUGGCAAUGUUACGUUGUAGGUAACUUCAGAAAAUGUGACGCUAGCUGAGGUAAACCGCACCAGCUGUGCUAUUACCGAGUCUGUCUCAUUUUGCCGUCUAGCAGGAAAAGGUUGUGAGAGUAGCAGAAGAAGAGGAAAUUGCAGUAAACCUGGUUUUGAAAGAAGCCAAACAUUCUUAUGAUAUUGGAGCUCAGCCUGUGGAAACAAAAAUGGGCUGAAAACACAAAAAAACCCCAUGUUUCAAAUAGAAAGACUCGUUGAGAAGGUUGUGAAAAGGUUGUGAGAGUAGCAGAAGAAGAAAAUUGCAGUAAACCCGGUUUUGAAAGAAGCCAAACAUUCCGAUGAUAUGGGAGCUCAGCCCGUGGAAACGAAAACCCUAUGUUUCAGAUAGAAAGACAAAAGAAACACAUCGUUCCUCAGCUACAUCUGAGGACUACUCUCACCGAAAGAAAAUCACCUCGCUUAUAGACUCGGAAGGUGAAAGCGAGACCCACAAAUUUGCAACAACGAAGCAAGUAAGAAGUAUUUUGGCAGAUUAUCGUGCACGCAAAGCUAAAUAGUCAAUUAAAUAAAAUUUUCUUAACACAUUUUACAUGACCAUUCGUUUAAAACGAUAUGUCCUCCACUGCUAGUUACAGAAGACAAUUUGUAAAUACGUCACAACAUGCCCAUAAAAAUUCUACGGAGUUAGUUAUUUCUCCCCUAGAUGUCUUGAAAAUAUACUGGAAAUGUCAGCUGUCCCGUCGGCUGUUCUAUUUCGCGUGGCCUCGGACUGAGGAUGGUUGCUGAAACGAACGUCUCUAUUUUUGAAAUUUUACCACCGAUUCCGUGUGUUUUCAGUUGCAUCAUGUGAAUUCCAUCAAUGCAGAGUUGUUCAAGGAGGAACAUGGCUUGGCUUUGCCAUCACGUUUUUCAUCUCCGUUAGUUUGAUAUACCCAUUUUGUUUCAAAGAUCUUUGGGAUGUACCUGAUGUACUGUGGUGGCCGCAAAAUCAUUCAAUGACUUGGUUCAAUCCAGGUCUUAGUUUUUUCAAUAGUGGUUUACAGUUUUAAUUUGCAGAGAUCCUGGAUGACCUGAUGUGUUUCAUUGGUGUUGGAGUCACUCGGUGACAGAAGAGAAUGCCACUAAUGUUAUGUUGUCAGUGUAAAUAAAUCAUAUCCAGUAUCA